rnacentral:rRNA from 1 species
AUGGCGGACGCGGCCGGGAAGGCGCAGGCGGCCCGCGAGGUGUGCGCGGCGUCGGCGGCCUUCUCGUCCUGCCCGCAUCGCCGCCGCUCCCCGCGCCGCGCGAUCUUCGUCGACUGGUACCUCGUCCUCGCCAUCGGCGAGGCCGCGUCGGAGGACGCCAUCAAGCGGCGGUACCGGCACCUCGCUCUGCAGCUGCACCCGGACAAGAACAGGCACCCCAAGGCGGAGGUCGCCUUCAAGCUCGUCUCCGAGGCGCACGCGUGCCUGACGGACAAGGCGCGCCGGAGGAACUUCGACGCCGAGCGGGCCACGGCCUUCUGCGCCGCGUGCCAUGACCGUGCGAGGGCCGCCACGACGCCCUGCGCGCCCACCCGGCGGCGCGCCAGCGACAGGAGGACGCCGGCGUCGUCCGAGGCAGCGUCCGCACAGCAGCAGCACAACAAGGCCCGUGGCUCCGUCGCGAAGCAGCAGGGUGGCGGCGGGAGGAGGCCGCCCGCGCCGACGCAGGCGCUGCGGGAGGUGCAGAACCGGCUGCGGGACGAGUGCAGGGUCAUCGACGGCUGCCUGCGCGCCAACGCCGCCGGCGCGCGCAGGCGCCAGUCCUUCCCGCUCUUCGACCCGUCCGACAGGCAGCGCUUCCCGGACUACCCGCACGCCCGGCCCCCGCCGUCGUUCGCCGAGUGCCGGCCGUUCGAGGAGGAGGAGCUCCGCGCGGGCCAGCACCACGAGAGCUGGUGCACAAACGGCAGCUGCGAGUCGCCGGUGUACCAGGUCAGGACCGCGCCGGAGCACGCCACGAGGGCGAACCGCCCUUGGUGA